UCUCAGCCUCCUCCUGCAAGUGACGACACAACACUGACCCGGGAGCCCCCUCCUAAGGACUUGCCUCAGUCAUUCCGCAGAGGCUUCAGGGGAAGCCGCCCCACCCUGUAGGCGGCCGUGGGAGCAAAAGGCAAGUCACGGAAACUUUCAUGAAGUGGGCAGAGAAACCGCUUGUGUUAGCACAGUAGAGGGAUAACCGGGGAAUCCACCGCCAUCCACCCUUGACCUCACACGCUACUGGAGCUACAGGUUUUUGGGUGGACCCAGAGGCCCUGAAAUGUUCUGCCACAGAUUUUGCACCGUCUAGGCCCGAGGCCUGGCUUUGUGACUGACUACACAGGCUGAAAGUGUGAGCUGGCAGACGGACGUUCAAUGGUAUUUUCCUAAGAAUCAUCACCGGGGCUUGGCCACAAGCUUUGCUUUUUCCUGUUGAGUAGCAUUAUCAUAUUUUCUUUCUCUGCUUCUCUUGCUUUGUGUUUCAUGGAUGUAACUGAGCUGGGCCCAGCUCCUGCAUCUCGAGAUUGGAGGACAGGCAAGACACCUCUGCCUCUGAAACCACUGCAAGUGUUCUAGUAGGCAGGGGUCUUUGCCUUGAUGUGGAUUGGUUGUGGCUUCCCCACUCCAUCCUUGCCCUCUCUAGAAAUAGAGUGAAGCUUUGCUACUGUAGAGAGGGAAAGAGGGAACAGAGUCAGUUGAUGUGAACUGUGAAUUUGUAAUGUUAGUUUGGAAAACAUCUCAGGACUUGUGCACAGCAGACUGUAAUCUGUAGUCCAAGCACUCUGUCGUCUUGGUGAGGUUUGUUCCUUUUCCUCUCCUCACCAAGCCUGUGAAGGUCACUUGAAAACAGCUGAAAGAUAGUAACAUAGGCCCAAAGGAACCCAAGGCCUGACUACACAGAAGUAUGGAAAUGCAAAGGCCAUUACUUUGAAAAAUAUCUCUUAUGAUGCCAAGUUGGUUCCUAGCUUCUACACUGUGGUUCUAAACCAUAGCACGAUUUUUCCACUUGCCUUCCUUUGCAUUGCAUAGCAACAGGAAGUGCCAUGCAUGGAUGGGCUUAUGCCUGAGUUCCUUAAUGAAUCACUGACAAGAGAGCCAAUAGAAUAUCUUUUAACAAAUUAGGUCCACUUCGGAAACAGGGUCAGUUCAGCUUCCCCAGGAACACACAGGUGGUACACAAGGAAAAACAUAUAUCUAUAUAAAAACCAGAAACUGCUAGGAAUGGGUGGUUAUGUCAGUAAGAUUUGCUGUGAUAAUAUACCUUAGAUAGGGCUGGGAAUUUAGCUCAGCGGCAUAAAUGCCUGCCUUGAAGCGUGUGAUGGUGAGUUCAAUUCCUGGUACCAAAAAAAAAAAAAAAAAAAAAGACCAAAAACAUAUCUGAGAUAAACAAGUUAAAAAAAGGAAAUAGGGCUGGGGAUUUAGCUCAGCAGCAUAAGCGCCUGCCUGGCAAGCACAGGGUUGUGAGUUUGAUCCCUGGUACCAAAAAAAGAGGAAAUAGACUUUGGCUCACAAUUUUAGGGGUUUCAGUCAAUAACUUUGACCACUGUACUGUGUCAAGCAAUAUAUCAUGAUGGGAGGACCCUAUAGAGCAACCAAAAAACAGAGGAAGGGGACAGGGUCACAAGAUCCUUUCAAGGGCAAACAUCCAGUGACUUAAUUCCUCCCUUUUGAACCCCAUCUCCCUAUAGCACCACAGACCAAGCUUUUAGCACAAGAGCCUUUGGGCGACAUUUAAAAUCCAAACAAUUACAGUAGUCAAUCAAAGAUAUCUAUUACAUGAAGUCUACUACCUGAAGAACCAUCAGCCUUGAGGAAUGGGGGUGAGGAACCCUAACACACUUGAAAGCAAGAACUACUUGAACAAAUAUUUCUAAAGACUUGUUAAAUUCCUCUCUGGAUAUGUGGAACAAGGACAACUUUGAAACUUAGCAGUACAGUCAGUGAUGGUGCUCUAAGUCUCCUCAAAUCCUCUAUAUCCAUAGGAAUUGGCUAAUACUGGAAAAUGGAAACUCACGAGGUACCUAAAAGUAACAAGGGACAGCACAGAAAAAUGCUCUUAGUCAAUAAAUCCCUGAAAAAACACUGCAACAGAGAGAGACCUGGAACAUGGAGUCUCUCGGAAGAAGCCACAUUGUAGCUUACAAUACAGGUGAGAAAAGAAGGUAGAAAACCAGGCUGCAGAAUGAUAUAUUUUCUUAAAAGAUAAACUGAAGCACAUUAGAAACUUUAAGAGUUUGAGUAAAGGACAGCUCACGAGUGGGGCAGCAUGCAGAACCAAAAGAGGUUUGGAGAGCUCUACUGCGGCAGCAUGGACAGAAGUUUAUAUAGACUGAAUAUGGAAGUAAGCAUUCUUUGAUUUGUUAGAGUGAAAAGUCCCUGAUGAGAAGUUAAUUUUUGAUUUGGUUUGGUUUGGUUUUUGAGAUGAGGGUCUUACCAUGUAGUUCAGGCUGGCCUUGAACUCAAUAUACAGCUGAGACUGGCCUCAAACUUGGAGUGAUCCUCCUGCCUCAGCCUCCAAAUGCUAGGAUUACAGGAAUGCACGAGCAUACCUAGCUACCAGUUGGUAGUUUCUGACUGGUAAAAUUUCUACUUUUGUUUUACUCUUUACAUUAAGCUUUUUUUUUUUUUAAGAGGAAAAAGAGAAAAACACAAAACAAAACAAAGCGGUGUAAGGGUACACGUAAUACAGAACUACAAAAAAAAACAUAACAGUAAGAAAUCACCUGUUAAUAGAUUACAUAUUAUCAUCUUGAAAAUAGUUGCUCAAAUCACAGUAUCAAAGAAUACAAGGUGGACAUUCAAACAGGGAGACUGCAAACAGCUGUGUUCAAUGAUCCAAAAACAUUGAUAUAGUCAGCUAUUUAACACCCCUAAACACACUUGCUGUUAUAUCCGUUAGAGCUCUUUUUCUUUUUUUUUCCCUCUCUUUUUUACAACAAAAUUUACACAUUUUGGAUUUUAUUACUCCUUAGUGCUUAUUACUUUUUUGGGGGGAGAGAAUACAGUCAAAUAUGGCAAAACAAAGCUGUCAGUCAAUACCAAGGAUAGACAUAGCACAUGGUGUAGAACAGAGUACAAGGUUAUCAACAGUGGUUAUCAACGUUGUCUCUUGUUUCCUUAAAAAGAAUUGUCUAUCUCAUUAGAUAUUAUAAAGUUGGACAAAACAGUAGAGAACAAGACCAAUAAAACUUAGGCAUUGUAAACAUUACAGGACUUCCAAAGAAGACAAUAGUCAAACCAGAAUGUGCAUCUUAGUGAAUCUUAUUGCCUUCAAAGUAGAUGCCUAUAUCCUCAAACUUGAUACUAUCAUACAGAAUGGAACAGAGUCUAAUCAGUCAAAACAAGAUCGUGGGAGUAUUACAGGACUUCAAAACAAGUUAAUAGGAAAUCAAAAAGAGUUACUAUUUAUAUAUCCUAAUUUUUAAAAUUUUUUCCCUUAAUUAAGACAAACAUAAGAAAUGACUAAAUAAUUUUUUUUGAAAAGAAUAAGGGGAAGAUUGAGAUAAAACAGUACAUUAAGCUUUAAUUGGCUUAUGUAGGAACCCAAAGCUCUUAGAGCCAUAUGAGCCUAAAGGUCCCUUAAUUAAAAGAUUUUAAUACUUAGAAGGCAAUGUAACCUAAUCUCAGUUUAAAGAUUUCUAUUGUAUAAAUCAGACAUGUGGCCAGAAUUUACUCCCUCAAACCCUAAGCAGAGAAAUUAGAACCAUAUUGUUGUGGGUUGAUUGUGUACCCAAAAAAAGUUACCUUCAAUUUCUGGCCCCUGUUACCAGUGAAAACAACUGUAUUGAGAAAAUCUUUGCAGAUGGAAUCAGGUUAAGAUGAAGUCCUGUGGAGCAGGUUGGCCCUUCAUGCUGGUGUCCUCAUCAGCAAGGAAGGGACAUAUAGACAGCACAUGUGAUGGCAGAGGCAGACAUUGGAGUUAAUCUGCCACAAACCACGGACACCUAGGGCAGACAGAACUAACAGAGAUGAGGCAGCAUCCUCCCUGAUAAGUUUCCGAAGCAAUGUGAUCCUGCUAGCAUGUGCAUUUCAGGCUCUUGGCCUCCAAUGUGAGACAAUAAAGUUCUAUUGUUUAAUGCCA